CCUACGGGAGACAGCAGUAGGGAAUAUUGCUCAAUGGGGGAAACCCUGAAGCAGCAACGCCGCGUGGGGGAUGAAGGUUUUCGGAUUGUAAACUCCUUUUGGUAGGGAAGAUAAUGACGGUAUCUAACGAAUAAGCACCGGCUAACUCCGUGCCAGCAGCCGCGGUAAUACGGAGGGUGCAAGCGUUACUCGGAAUCACUGGGCGUAAAGAGCGCGUAGGCGGGAUAGCAAGUCAGAUGUGAAAUCCUAUGGCUUAACCAUAGAACUGCAUUUGAAACUGUCAUUCUAGAGUAUGGGAGAGGUAGGUGGAAUUCUUGGUGUAGGGGUAAAAUGCGUAGAGAUCAAGAGGAAUACUCAUUGCGAAGGCGACCUGCUAGAACAUAACUGACGCUGAUGCGCGAAAGCGUGGGGAGCAAACAGGAUUAGAUACCCCGGUAGUC
rnacentral:rRNA from 1 species